GGCAGCCGCGGUAAUUCCAGCUCCAAUAGCGUAUAUUAAAGUUGUUGCAGUUAAAAAGCUCGUAGUUGAAUUUCGGGGUCAGUAGAUUGGUCGUGCCACUGGUAUGUACUGGCUCCACUGAUUCCUCCUUCUUGUAGAACCGUAAUGCCAUUAAUUUGGUGUUGCGAGGAAACAGGACUGUUACUUUGAAAAAUUAGAGUGUUUAAAGCAGGCUAACGCCUGAAUACAUUAGCAUGGAAUAAUGAAAUAGGACGUUCGACCCUAUUUUGUUGGUUUCUAGGAUUGACGUAAUGAUUAAUAGGGAUAGUUGGGGGCAUUAGUAUUCAAUUGUCAGAGGUGAAAUUCUUGGAUUUAUUGAAGACUAACUACUGCGAAAGGCAUUUGCCAAGGAUGUUUUCAUUAAUCAAGAACGAAAGUUAGGGGAUCGAAGACGAUCAGAUACCGUCGUAGUCUUAACCAUAAACUAUGCCGACUAGGGAUCGGAUGGUGUUAAUUUUUAAUGACUCAUUCGGCGCCUUAG
rnacentral:rRNA from 1 species